rnacentral:rRNA from 1 species
GCAAGUCGAGGGGUAACAGAGAGUGCUUGCACUUUGCUGACGACCGGCGCACGGGUGCGUAACGCGUAUACAAUCUGCCUUGUACUGGGGGAUAGCCUUUAGAAAUGAAGAUUAACACCCCAUAGUAUGUAGAGUUCGCAUGGAUUUUACAUUAAAGGUUACGGUACAAGAUGAGUAUGCGUCCUAUUAGCUAGAUGGAGUGGUAACGGCACCCCAUGGCGACGAUAGGUAGGGGCCCUGUGAGGGGGAUC